ACGAACGCUGGCGGCAUGCCUAAUACAUGCAAGUCGAACGAUCCCUUCGGGGAUAGUGGCGCACGGGUGCGUAACGCGUGGGAAUCUGCCCUUGGGUUCGGAAUAACUUCGGGAAACUGAAGCUAAUACCGGAUGAUGACGAAAGUCCAAAGAUUUAUCGCCCAGGGAUGAGCCCGCGUAGGAUUAGCUAGUUGGUGGGGUAAAGGCUCACCAAGGCAACGAUCCUUAGCUGGUCUGAGAGGAUGAUCAGCCACACUAGGACUGAGACACGGCCCAGACUCCUACGGGAGGCAGCAGUAGGGAAUAUUGGACAAUGGGCGCAAGCCUGAUCCAGCAAUGCCGCGUGAGUGAUGAAGGCCUUAGGGUUGUAAAGCUCUUUUACCCGAGAUGAUAAUGACAGUAUCGGGAGAAUAAGCUCCGGCUAACUCCGU
rnacentral:rRNA from 1 species